UACGAAGGGGACUAGCGUUGCUCGGAAUCACUGGGCGUAAAGGGUGCGUAGGCGGGUCCUUAAGUCAGGGGGGAAAUCCUGGAGCUCAACUCCAGAACUGCCUUUGAUACUGAAGAUCUUGAGUUCGGGAGAGGUGAGUGGAACUGCGAGUGUAGAGGUGAAAUUCGUAGAUAUUCGCAAGAACACCAGUGGCGAAGGCGGCUCACUGGCCCGAUACUGACGCUGAGGCACGAAAGCGUGGGGAGCAAACAGG
rnacentral:rRNA from 1 species